GAAGAUUGGGCCGGAUGGGCGCCAUGCUUGGUGAGCAAGAACUUGAAAGUUAUAGAAAUCAAUUCUUGCCCAAGCUUAAAAAGGACUCCCGACUUCUCAAAAUGCUUGAAUUUGAAGAGAUUGGCUA